rnacentral:rRNA from 1 species
GAUGAACGCUAGCUACAGGCUUAACACAUGCAAGUCGAGGGGCAGCGGGAUUGAAGCUUGCUUCAAUUGCCGGCGACCGGCGCACGGGUGAGUAACGCGUAUCCAACCUUCCGUACACUCAGGGAUAGCCUUUCGAAAGAAAGAUUAAUACCUGAUGGUAUGAUGAGAUUGCAUGAUAUCAUCAUUAAAGAUUUAUCGGUGUACGAUGGGGAUGCGUUCCAUUAGGUAGUAGGCGGGGUAACGGCCCACCUAGCCAACGAUGGAUAGGGGUUCUGAGAGGAAGGUCCCCCACAUUGGAACUGAGACACGGUCCAAACUCCUACGGGAGGCAGCAGUGAGGAAUAUUGGUCAAUGGACGAGAGUCUGAACCAGCCAAGUAGCGUGAAGGAUGAAGGUCCUACGGAUUGUAAACUUCUUUUAUAAGGGAAUAAACCCUUCCACGUGUGGGAGCUUGUAUGUACCUUAUGAAUAAGCAUCGGCUAACUCCGUG